GACGAACGCUGGCAGCGUGCUUAACACAUGCAAGUCGAGCGGUAAGGCCCUUUCGGGGGGUACACGAGCGGCGAACGGGUGAGUAACACGUGGGUGACCUGCCCUCAGCUCUGGGAUAAGCCUGGGAAACCGGGUCUAAUACCGGAUAUGACUCCAUGACGCAUGUUGUGGGGUGGAAAGCCUUGUGCGGCUGAGGAUGGGCCCGCGGCCUAUCAGCUUGUUGGUGGGGUGANGGCCUACCAAGGCGACGACGGGUAGCCGGCCUGAGAGGGCGACCGGCCACACUGGGACUGAGACACGGCCCAGACUCCUACGGGAGGCAGCAGUGGGGAAUCUUGCGCAAUGGGCGAAAGCCUGACGCAGCGACGCCGCGUGAGGGAUGACGGCCUCGG
rnacentral:rRNA from 1 species